rnacentral:rRNA from 1 species
GAUGAACGCUGGCGGCGUGCCCAAUACAUGCAAGUCGAGCGAACGGACGAGAAGCUUGCUUCUCUGAUGUUAGCGGCGGACGGGUGAGUAACACGUGGAUAACCUACCUAUAAGACUGGGAUAACUUCGGGAAACCGGAGCUAAUACCGGAUAAUAUUUUGAACCGCAUGGUUCAAAAGUGAAAGACGGUCUUGCUGUCACUUAUAGAUGGAUCCGCGCUGCAUUAGCUAGUUGGUAAGGUAACGGCUUACCAAGGCAACGAUGCAUAGCCGACCUGAGAGGGUGAUCGGCCACACUGGAACUGAGACACGGUCCAGACUCCUACGGGAGGCAGCAGUAGGGAAUCUUCCGCAAUGGGCGAAAGCCUGACGGAGCAACGCCGCGUGAGUGAUGAAGGUCUUCGGAUCGUAAAACUCUGUUAUUAGGGAAGAACAUAUGUGUAAGUAACUGUGCACAUCUUGACGGUACCUAAUCAGAAAGCCACGGCUAACUACGUGCCAGCAGCCGCGGUAAUACGUAGGUGGCAAGCGUUAUCCGGAAUUAUUGGGCGUAAAGCGCGCGUAGGCGGUUUUUUAAGUCUGAUGUGAAAGCCCACGGCUCAACCGUGGAGGGUCAUUGGAAACUGGAAAACUUGAGUGCAGAAGAGGAAAAGUGGAAUUCCAUGUGUAGCGGUGAAAUGCGCAGAGAUAUGGAGGAACACCAGUGGCGAAGGCGACUUUCUGGUCUGUAACUGACGCUGAUGUGCGAAAGCGUGGGGAUCAAACAGGAUUAGAUACCCUGGUAGUCCACGCCGUAAACGAUGAGUGCUAAGUGUUAGGGGGUUUCCGCCCCUUAGUGCUGCAGCUAACGCAUUAAGCACUCCGCCUGGGGAGUACGACCGCAAGGUUGAAACUCAAAGGAAUUGACGGGGACCCGCACAAGCGGUGGAGCAUGUGGUUUAAUUCGAAGCAACACGAAGAACCUUACCAAAUCUUGACAUCCUUUGACAACUCUAGAGAUAGAGCCUUCCCCUUCGGGGGACAAAGUGACAGGUGGUGCAUGGUUGUCGUCAGCUCGUGUCGUGAGAUGUUGGGUUAAGUCCCGCAACGAGCGCAACCCUUAAGCUUAGUUGCCAUCAUUAAGUUGGGCACUCUAAGUUGACUGCCGGUGACAAACCGGAGGAAGGUGGGGAUGACGUCAAAUCAUCAUGCCCCUUAUGAUUUGGGCUACACACGUGCUACAAUGGACAAUACAAAGGGCAGCGAAACCGCGAGGUCAAGCAAAUCCCAUAAAGUUGUUCUCAGUUCGGAUUGUAGUCUGCAACUCGACUACAUGAAGCUGGAAUCGCUAGUAAUCGUAGAUCAGCAUGCUACGGUGAAUACGUUCCCGGGUCU